AAGCUGGUCCCAUUAUCUAAUAGCUUACAAAGAAAAAAAUAUAAUGUAUACAGUGGUUGAAAAAGUAGGAGUUAUAAAAAAAUGUGUUUGCAUUUUAACUUUUCAGGAGAUGUUACAGCCCAGAUAGCUCUUCAGCCUGCACUGAAGUUCAAUGGUGGUGGUCAUAUCAAUCAUAGCAUUUUCUGGACAAACCUCAGCCCUAACGGUGGUGGAGAACCCAAAGGGGAGUUGCUGGAAGCCAUCAAACGUGACUUUGGUUCCUUUGACAAGUUUAAGGAGAAGCUGACGGCUGCAUCUGUUGGUGUCCAAGGCUCAGGUUGGGGUUGGCUUGGUUUCAAUAAGGAACGGGGACACUUACAAAUUGCUGCUUGUCCAAAUCAGGAUCCACUGCAAGGAACAACAGGCCUUAUUCCACUGCUGGGGAUUGAUGUGUGGGAGCACGCUUACUACCUUCAGUAUAAAAAUGUCAGGCCUGAUUAUCUAAAAGCUAUUUGGAAUGUAAUCAACUGGGAGAAUGUAACUGAAAGAUACAUGGCUUGCAAAAAGUAAACCACGAUCGUUAUGCUGAGUAUGUUAAGCUC
rnacentral:sRNA from 1 species